GCACUCCCCUUGAUAAGGACGGACAACACACAUACUGUCAAGGCACCGUCGCUACGGCGACACCUGACACAUUUUAUGU